rnacentral:rRNA from 1 species
AGAGUUUGAUCCUGGCUCAGGAUGAACGCUGGCGGCGUGCCUAACACAUGCAAGCCGAACGAAGUUACACAGAGGAAGUUUUCGGAUGGAAUCAGUAUAACUUAGUGGCGGACGGGUGAGUAACGCGUGGGAAACCUGCCCUGUACCGGGGGAUAACACUUAGAAAUAGGUGCUAAUACCGCAUAAGCGCACGGAACCGCAUGGUUCCGUGUGAAAAACUCCGGUGGUACAGGAUGGUCCCGCGUCUGAUUAGCCAGUUGGCAGGGUAACGGCCUACCAAAGCGACGAUCAGUAGCCGGCCUGAGAGGGUGAACGGCCACAUUGGGACUGAGACACGGCCCAAACUCCUACGGGAGGCAGCAGUGGGGAAUAUUGCACAAUGGGGGAAACCCUGAUGCAGCGACGCCGCGUGAGUGAAGAAGUAUUUCGGUAUGUAAAGCUCUAUCAGCAGGGAAGAAAAUGACGGUACCUGACUAAGAAGCCCCGGCUAACUACGUGCCAGCAGCCGCGGUAAUACGUAGGGGGCAAGCGUUAUCCGGAUUUACUGGGUGUAAAGGGAGCGUAGACGGCAUGGCAAGCCAGAUGUGAAAACCCAGGGCUCAACCUUGGGAUUGCAUUUGGAACUGCCAGGCUGGAGUGCAGGAGAGGUAAGCGGAAUUCCUAGUGUAGCGGUGAAAUGCGUAGAUAUUAGGAGGAACACCAGUGGCGAAGGCGGCUUACUGGACUGUAACUGACGCUGAGGUGCGAAAGCUGGGGGAGCGAACAGGAUUAGAUACCCUGGUAGUCCCAGCCGUAAACGAUGGACGCUAGGUGUGGGGGGACGAUCCCCCCGUGCCGCAGCCAACGCAUUAAGCGUCCCGCCUGGGGAGUACGGCCGCAAGGCUAAAACUCAAAGGAAUUGACGGCGGCCCGCACAAGCAGCGGAGCAUGUGGCUUAAUUCGAAGCAACGCGAAGAACCUUACCAGGGCUUGACAUAUGGGUGAAGCGGGGGAGACCCCGUGGCCGAGAGGAGCCCAUACAGGUGGUGCAUGGCUGUCGUCAGCUCGUGUCGUGAGAUGUUGGGUUAAGUCCCGCAACGAGCGCAACCCCUGUUGCCAGUUGCCAGCAUUAAGUUGGGGACUCUGGCGAGACUGCCGGUGACAAGCCGGAGGAAGGCGGGGAUGACGUCAAAUCAUCAUGCCCCUUAUGACCUGGGCUACACACGUGCUACAAUGGACAGAGCAGAGGGAAGCGAAGCCGCGAGGUGGAGCGAAACCCAUAAAACUGUUCUCAGUUCGGACUGCAGUCUGCAACUCGACUGCACGAAGAUGGAAUCGCUAGUAAUCGCGAAUCAGCAUGUCGCGGUGAAUACGUUCUCGGGCCUUGCACACACCGCCCGUCA